UUUGCUUACGCUCGCUACCUUACUAGUUUUCCUUCAGCGGCACUUCGCAUGCGUUUCUUAUUCAUUUGCCGCUGCUCAACAAUUUUCUUGCGCUCUGUUUGGCAUGUGCUUUUGCCCGGCGCCUCUGUCGCUUGUGCCACCUGGCCAGGUGAGUCCUAGCGGGUCCGAGCUUUGUCGUUGUUUCGCGCUACGUCGGCUGGCUAGCAAGUUGGGCUGGUUCGGUUGGUCGGGUCUUGGGCGUGUUAGGUGGGGGGCUGGGAGGAGCUCUCGCAUGCCAGCAAACAGCUUAUCAAACAGCAAAUCAGAUUAAAAUUUCGUUCACCAAUUCUGCCGCUAGGUCGGCGUACACUUACGGUACUUUCUGCUGUGUGCCGCCUGACUUUUUACUACUACGGUUUCCUUUGUAUUUCCGUUUUCUUUACGACUUUCCUCUUUCAUCUCUGCGGCUAGGUCGUCAUUUCGCUUUUUCUCCCAUGGACUCGGCAGCCUUUGGACUCGGCCGCCUAGGUAUUCUUUCGCUAGAUUGCGAAUCUGGCCGGCCAUGUCGCCGCGAUGACUACUUCCCAAGUCACUACUGGUUGGCAACUUCUUAAAAUUUCUUGAUGCGG
rnacentral:lncRNA from 1 species